UAGGCCCUUGGGGAGUUGUUUGGAUGCAUGGAAUUGGAGUCCAUGGAAAGAAAGCAUAUCUUGAAAAGACAGGAUUGAAAGAAUUUCUCUUCAUCCUGUUCGGGUGAUAAUUUUGGAUUUGCAUGGAAAGAUGAGUUCAUAUUUGGGUAUAGAACUCUUCCAAGGAAAGAUUGAAGAGAAGAAUGCAGCAUCCAUGCCAACGUGGCACAUGUGCAGGAUCCGAGACAUUCAUCGGGUUGGCCUUUGUGAUAAAGGAAUGAAUGCAAGGAGAGAGUGCAUGUUGGAGUGAAUUGUGACAGUAGAAGGUGUUUAUAAGAGCCAAAGUAUAGCUGUUGCAAAGGAUUCUUUUUCCCUGAAUGCACAUUUCGGUUUUUAGCUAGAAAUGGAAACUAGGCUGAAGAGAUAAAACACGAAGAAACCAUUUUUGCAUUCUUGACAGUGCCAUGC